rnacentral:rRNA from 1 species
CCGUCUUUUGGUGAUUUUCUUGUGGGUUCUGAUCCCCCCUUUAUAACACAUACUCCUUUAUUAUUAUUAUUGAACGUGCUUGUGCCGCAAGGCUUAUAAAUAUAAUACAACUUUUAACAACGGAUCUCUUGGCUCUCGCAUCGAUGAAGAACGCAGCGAAAUGCGAUAAGUAAUGUGAAUUGCAGAAUUCAGUGAAUCAUCGAAUCUUUGAACGCACCUUGCGCUCCCUGGUAUUCCGAGGAGCACACCUGUUCGAGUGUCGUAAAAUUAUCAGACUGUUGAAGCUUUUUUUUGACCCUCGGUUAAAAAGGCAUCUUAGUUUGGUGUUGGGCUCUGCCGUGCCUUUGAUUGGAACGGCUGGCCUUAAAAGCAUUAGCUGACUCCUGUGAGUGUGUUGGUUCUACUCAGUGUGAUAAUCAUUUCUGAACCGCUGAGGACAUCUUGCGAGAUGGCCAAUUCUUGCUUGGGUUGCUUCUAAUCUGGUUGACAGAUUGUUGAAUCUGUCCCACUUCUAAUUUUGACCUCGAAUCAGGUGGGACUACCCGCUGAACUUAAGCAUAUCAAUAAGCGGAGGAAAAGAAACUAACAAGGAUUCCCCUAGUAACGGCGAGUGAAGCGGGAAAAGCUCAAAUUUAAAAUCUGGCAGUCUUUGAU